rnacentral:rRNA from 1 species
CACGUAGGGCGCAAGCGUUGUCCGGAAUUAUUGGGCGUAAAGAGCUCGUAGGCGGUCUGUUGCGUCCGCUGUGAAAACUCGGGGCUUAACCCCGAGCCUGCAGUGGAUACGGGCAGACUAGAGGUAGGUAGGGGAGAAUGGAAUUCCCGGUGUAGCGGUGAAAUGCGCAGAUAUCGGGAGGAACACCGGUGGCGAAGGCGGUUCUCUGGGCUGACCUUGACGCUGAGGCGCGAAGGCGUGGGGAGCGAACGGG